rnacentral:rRNA from 1 species
UGGGGAAUAUUGGACAAUGGGCGCAAGCCUGAUCCAGCCAUGCCGCGUGAGUGAUGAAGGCUCUAGGGUUGUAAAGCUCUUUCACCGGUGAAGAUAAUGACGGUAACCGGAGAAGAAGCUCCGGCUAACUUCGUGCCAGCAGCCGCGGUAAUACGAAGGGGGCUAGCGUUGUUCGGAUUUACUGGGCGUAAAGUGCACGUAGGCGGACUAUUAAGUAAGGGGUGAAAUCCCGGGGCUCAACCCCGGAACUGCCUUUGAUACUGGUAGUCUUGAGUUCGAGAGAGGUGAGUGGAAGUCCGAGUGUAGAGGUGAAAUUCGUAGAUAUUCGGAGGAACACCAGUGGCGAAGGCGGCUCACUGGCUCGAUACUGACGCUGAGGUGCGAAAGCGUGGGGAGCAAACAGG